UGCCUUCUGUAAAGGGAACUCCACAAGUGUGCAUGGACUGAAUGGCUAGGAUUAAAAGAAAUAAAACCAUGUUUUAAAUUAAAAAAAAUGGUGUUCAGUUCUCGUUUGCAUCUCACCCUGCCCUCUCCUUUCACCAUACUGCAUAGAAAAUUAGUUUGUGUGUGUGUGUGUCUGCUUGCCACUCUCCUCCCUCUCUCUAUCCCUCUCCCCCUUUCUCUCCUCUCUCUCUCCUCAUCAAGAUCACACUGCUUUGAAUCUCUGGCUCUCAGUAAACAGCUGAGACUCCCACCUUUUCCCUUCCCUUGGACAAGAGACAGCAGUUCGUUUUAGGAUCCACAGUCUACGGGGUGUGAGAGUGACAUGCACCUGUACCCCCCCCUCUUCAGCAGGUGUGACAGUUUGAAUUCUGCCCAGUAGGUGGGACUUGGUGACUUUAGCACCCGUUUUUCUGUCUCCCUCAUCUUCUCUUGCAUUCCUCAGAAGUCUUGUGGACCUCCUGGAAAAAAAACAAAAAACAAAAAAAAUAAUAAAAAAAAAACAACAA